AUGGACGCAGUCUGAUGGAGCAACGCCGCGUGAGUGAAGAAGGGUUUCGGCUCGUAAAGCUCUGUUGGUAGUGAAGAAAGAUAGAGGUAGUAACUGGCCUAUAUUUGACGGUAAUUACUUAGAAAGUCACGGCUAACUACGUGCCAGCAGCCGCGGUAAUACGUAGGUGGCAAGCGUUGUCCGGAUUUAUUGGGCGUAAAGCGAGUGCAGGCGGUUCAAUAAGUCUGAUGUGAAAGCCUUCGGCUCAACCGGAGAAUUGCAUCAGAAACUGUUGAACUUGAGUGCAGAAGAGGAGAGUGGAACUCCAUGUGUAGCGGUGGAAUGCGUAGAUAUAUGGAAGAACACCAGUGGCGAAGGCGGCUCUCUGGUCUGCAACUGACGCUGAGGCUCGAAAGCAUGGGUAGCGAACAGGAUUAGAUACCCUGGUAGUCCAUGCCGUAAACGAUGAGUGCUAAGUGUUGGGAGGUUUCCGCCUCUCAGUGCUGCAGCUAACGCAUUAAGCACUCCGCCUGGGGAGUACGACCGCAAGGUUGAAACUCAAAGGAAUUGACGGGGGCCCGCACAAGC
rnacentral:rRNA from 1 species